rnacentral:rRNA from 1 species
UACGUAGGGUGCGAGCGUUGUCCGGAAUUAUUGGGCGUAAAGAGCGCGUAGGCGGUCCGGUAAGUCCGCUCUGAAAGUCCGGGGCUCAACCCCGGGAGGCGGGCGGAUACUGUCGGGCUAGAGUCCGGAAGAGGCGAGUGGAAUUCCUGGUGUAGCGGUGAAAUGCGCAGAUAUCAGGAGGAACACCAAUGGCGAAGGCAGCUCGCUGGGACGGUACUGACGCUGAGGCGCGAAAGCGUGGGGAGCAAACAGG